AUUGAACGCUGGCGGCAGGCCUAACACAUGCAAGUCGAACGGUAACAGGAAGACGCUUGCUUCUUUGCUGACGAGUGGCGGACGGGUGAGUAAUGUCUGGGAAACUGCCUGAUGGAGGGGGAUAACUACUGGAAACGGUAGCUAAUACCGCAUAACGUCGCAAGACCAAAGAGGGGGACCUUCGGGCCUCUUGCCAUCGGAUGUGCCCAGAUGGGAUUAGCUAGUAGGUGGGGUAACGGCUCACCUAGGCGACGAUCCCUAGCUGGUCUGAGAGGAUGACCAGCCGCCCUGGAACUGAGGCGCGUUGCAGACUCCUACGGGAGGCAGCAGUAGUGGGUAUUGCGCAAUAAGCGCAAGCCUGAUGAAGCCAUGCCGCGUGUAUGAAGAGGGCCUUCGGGUUGUGAAGUACUUUCGGCGGGAGUGAAGGGAGUAAAGUUAAUACCUUUGCUCAUUGACGUUACCCGCAGAAGAAGCGCCGGCUAACUCCGUG
rnacentral:rRNA from 1 species